CGCACUGCUCUGCGUUAUCUUUUCCCACCGUUCGUUCGCUCUUUAAGCUGUCCCAUUGGGAUAAGAGAGGAGAGUUUGAUAAUUAGUUCAUCAAGAGAUGGCGAGUGUGCAACCUUCAUAUACAUCCAUGCUUGCUAAGACAAGUUGUCGCACUCCCCUUAAGUUGCCCAAAACUUCUUUUUUACCUGGAUUAGAAGCUGUGGCACGUGUUUCAGAUAUCCAGGAUAAGGAGAUAAGCCCUAAAUAUGUUACUUCGACUCCGAAGGCCACUUUAGCUGUUGAGCAUUCGGUUGCGGAGUCACCAAAAUCUAAGCAGAAGAAGCACACCAUCGAUCCUUCUGCUCCUGAUUUUCUCCCGCUCCCUUCAUUUGAAGAAUGCUUCCCGAGGAGUACUAAGGAAUAUAGAGAAAUUAUUCAUGAGGAAUCUGGUCACGUCCUUAAGGUUCCAUUUCGAAGAGUUCACUUGUCUAUAGAAAACAAGUGCUUUGAUACGUAUGAUACCAGUGGGCCGCAAAACAUAAGUCCGACUUUGGGCCUUCCUAAAAUAAGGAAAGAAUGGAUCGAAAGACGAGAGCAGUUAGGCGGCCCAAGAUACACACAAAUGUUCUAUGCAAAAAAAGGAAUCAUAACAGAAGAGAUGUUGUUUUGUGCCGCACGGGAAAAGCUCGACCCUGAAUUCGUGCGCUCAGAAGUUGCGCGUGGGCGUGCUAUCAUCCCUUCCAACAAAAGACACUUGGAGUUGGAACCAAUGAUCGUAGGAAGAAAAUUCUUAGUUAAAGUGAACGCAAAUAUCGGUAAUUCAGCAGUCUUAAGCUCUAUUGAAGACGAGGUACACAAGCUUCAGUGGGCAACAAUGUGGGGUGCCGACACCGUCAUGGACCUCUCCACAGGUCGUCAUAUACAUGAAACUCGAGAAUGGAUCAUUCGCAACUCUUCAGUGCCGAUUGGGACCGUACCUAUAUACCAAGCCCUAGAGAAAGUAAAUGGCAUUGCCGAAAACCUGAGUUGGGAAAUUUUCAGAGAUACUCUAAUAGAACAAGCUGAGCAGGGCGUGGAUUACUUUACCAUCCAUGCUGGUGUGCUACUCAGAUACAUUCCUCUAACUGCCAAAAGAAUGACUGGGAUUGUUUCACGUGGGGGUUCAAUUCAUGCGAAAUGGUGUUUGGCCCACCACAAGGAGAACUUUGCUUAUGAGCAUUGGGAUGAAAUACUUGAUAUAUGCAAUCAAUAUGAUGUGUCGCUAUCGAUCGGCGAUGGGCUGAGGCCCGGUUCGAUUUAUGAUGCCAAUGAUAGUGCUCAGUUUGCAGAGCUUCUUACUCAAGGGGAACUUACACGCCGAGCUUGGGAAAAGGAUGUGCAGGUAAUGAAUGAAGGACCUGGCCACAUUCCAAUGCACAAAAUCCCCGAGAAUAUGGAAAAACAGUUAGAAUGGUGUAAUGAGGCACCAUUUUACACACUUGGUCCACUAACUACCGAUAUUGCUCCUGGCUAUGAUCACAUCACUUCCGCCAUUGGUGCUGCUAACAUUGGAGCUCUUGGAACUGCACUCUUGUGCUAUGUAACACCUAAAGAACAUCUGGGUUUACCUAAUCGUGAUGAUGUAAAGACAGGAGUUAUCUCCUACAAGAUCGCAGCCCAUGCUGCAGACCUCGCAAAAGGCCACCCAUAUGCACAACAAUGGGAUGACGAAUUGAGUAAAGCGAGGUUCGAGUUUAGAUGGAUGGACCAAUUUGCACUUUCUUUGGACCCUAUGACUGCAAUGGCUUUUCAUGAUGAGACUUUGCCCUCUGAGGGGGCCAAGGUCGCGCAUUUCUGCUCGAUGUGCGGGCCCAAGUUUUGUUCGAUGAAGAUAACAGAAGACAUAAGGAAGUACGCUGAGGAGAAUGGGUAUGGAAAUGUGGAAGAAGCUGUGAAGCGUGGGAUGGAUGCAAUGAGUGCAAAGUUUAUGGCUGCUGAGAAAACUGUCAGUGGGGAACAGCAUGGUGAAAUUGGAGGAGAGAUUUAUGUGCCUGAGAGUUACGCAGCUCGUUCAUGAAGGAAUAGCAAUACCACUUAUCCAUGGGAGAAGAAAGGACAGACGUGUUGAGGAUUGCUAGAUAUUGUGAAUAACACUCCCUAGUAAUGGGAGGGAAAGCACCUAACUGAAGAUACUAAACUAGGCCGAUUGCUUGGAUGCACCAGUUGUUGCAGCUGGCUAAAAUCUGUGACUGUCGCUGGGAAGUAACAUUUUGAUUAUUCUCUGCUGAUUAGUGUUUUAUCUGUGGUUAUCAAAGAGGGAGGCUAUUUAGUGUUGUGGUUUCAUCCAAACAAUGGUAGAUAUUCGGGACUGUUUGGCCCAGCUAAAGCUUUUGCAAAGGUGUUCGCUUAAGUUGAGCUGUUCAAAGAAGUUCUAACAGCUUUCUCAUUUAGAGUUUCUUUGUAGCUUCUCGCUGUAUGCUGUAGCAGAAGCAGCAAUAGCUCAACUUGUCUGCUGUUAGGAGCAGAGAAGCUGUCCCGAAACUUGGGUCAAGCAGAUACUCUGUAUGAUUCUUUUGUAAUUUCUUCAAAUGGUUUUUGCUCUUCAUCUACCAUUAUUUGCUUUUAGCUAAAACUUAUCUUGGUUUUUCUUGCGAGAGAGUAUUUUUUUAAUGAACUUUUGGGAGAGAUUAUUAGACUAUAGCGACAAACUUUUGAAAGUUGUUCUUGUUUGGAAACUAAUUUUAGUAAGCACCAGGGGUGCUCCGCCAGUCGAUCCUACAAGUGAUAAAAUGACUGGUGAGGGCUGAGAGAGUCCCUUAGAACCUGACCAGGGUAAUACCUGCGUAGGGAGUGUGCUUUUUUUUCUUUUUGUUGUUGUUCUUGGAAACAGAUGUGUGCUCGGAAUGCAAUCUCGCUCUCUGAUCAAACUGCGACUUUCCUGUGCAUUUGCACUCACUAAGGUUUUGAGGAACUGGAAGAAGAUAUUGAUGUUGAUCAUGCGAAUUAAGUUGUUCUUGGGCUAUAAAGUCGGUAAGAAUGAAGAAUGAUUAACAACUGUGGUGUAAUUCUUAGUCCCAGGUCUUUACUUGUUAGAAACUGGAAGUAAUUAUUAAAUAUGCUUGUUUGUUUUAGGCAAUAGGAUUGAAGGCGAAGUAUUGUUGGUUUGGCCUUAGGCCCUUAGUAAUGAAGCAGUUUUUUUUUUUUUUCUUUUUUGGAAUUUCUUGUGUCUCUCUGAAUUUCAUGUAUUUUGAGUAACUUAUUGCAGGUUUAAGUAUGUGUUUAGGUAUCAAAUAAAAUAUGAUACGGCUUGCAAAGCCCCAUGGAAAUAA